AAUUCUAUUAAUUUAAAUCUUUUGAUUAUUCAUAUCUUAAUGUUUUAAAUAUUUUUAUAAAUAGAUUCCGCUCUUCUGAUAUGCGAGCCGGCUCGAAAGACCCAUCACUAGUGUUUUCAGCCACUGGUAGAUUGUGGGUGCUUUAUAUGCGCUACACUCAAUUAUGAUUACAUGUCUACUUAUAUUAACUAUAUAAUUAUUAAUACACGCCUACUGUAUGAUAGCUAGCAAAUUAAUUAGCCUGCCUAGCUAGAACUUCUAAAGGAGGAACAUUUUUUAGUUCUACAUUUUUCCAAAAACUGACCAAACAACAUCAGUAGCAUAAUUUGUAAAUUAUUUACAUUCGUUUUGACUUACACUUGUAUGUUGACUUCUCCAUAUUGACUUUGAGGUUUUAAGUUUUGGCGGCGUUUUAGGUCCCGAAGUGAACAAACUUGUACACAUAAUUACUCGCAAACUCCAUUAAAAACUAGGCCUAAGGGGCUGACGGUGAAAACUUCCCUUGCUUAGCUAAUCAUUUGGACCGACGACAAAUAUUGCAGCGGGGAUUCCCCCAAAGCAUUAGGCCGAGGGUGGGUGGACAAGGGUGUCUUUUAUGAGUUUGAAACACAGCAAGCUAGCAAGCGCACACAUCUUCAAGAAAUGUACCUUUCUAGUUGGAAAGCGCGCAGUACGACAGUGCUGUACUUGUGUUCUCGCCUACAGUACGUUAAAUUCCAAAGGACUUCAAGCUGUUGAUCAACUAAAAUGACUUGUGGUUGUCAUCGUGAAGAAUACCGGAUCUUUGGAAAACAUUGAUAUUCCUGUAGCCUACUUUGUUACCCCUCCAAACCUAUCGGCAGGCCUAUGUGGAUGUGAGAUAUCUGACGCACAUUUAAAACAUCGAACGCACAGGUUACCUAAUGGAGAUGGAUUUCCAAAGGCUGCUAUUGCAGGUGGAACAAGCCCUGAGCAGUGAAGAAGUACAAGCACUUGCAUUUCUUUGCAAAGAUCUGCUUGAGAAAGACUGUAGCUCAGUGCCCACAGCAAGUAAACUCUUCUCUCUUCUGAUGGACCAAGAACUGUUAACCCCCGAUCAGCCUUACUUGCUCGCUGAUCUACUAUGCACCAUCCAGCGCCACAGCUUGAUGCGAGAGCUUGGUCUCAACAACCAGCUUCCAACAACCAGUAGCCUCAUCUCUCCUUAUAGAAAGCUGCUGUAUGACUUGUCAGAGAACACCACUGAAGACGAUUUGAGAGAGAUUAAGUUCCUAUUGAUUAACACACUCCCUCAUAGGAUACUGGAGGACAACGUGACUACCUUGCAAUUAUUCCUGGAAAUGGAGAAAGUGGAUAUUUUGAGCGUCAUAAAACUAAACAUUGUUGAAAGUAUGUUUGGAAGUGUCUGCCCCAUGUUGAAAACAAGAAUCAACCAGUUUAAGACACAGCAGGGGCCAGUAACCCAAAAAACAGGGGUGGGAUUGUUAAGAUCAAGGUCUUCUUCUGCAUGUCUUCCAGAAAACCAGGCUGUCUCUAUGCUUCCAAGGAGACCUGUGUCAUGUGGACUAUCAGUGGAACAACGUGGACAUUCUGACACGAUGUUCUUUCCCUCUUCGAACUUCUCUUCAGCUUCACAGCCUUCAACUGAGGUGUCCACUCUGAAUCCAGCUGACACCUCUCUGGAUGUUCGGAGGGUCUCAGAUACAGCGGAUACAGUACUUUCACAUAGGCUGGCUCUCCUAAGUACCAGUGGGGACAACAAUGCUGCUCUCAGCCAAGAGAAUCACCAUGUUUCAUCCAUACCCUCACGUGGACACAAUAAGAACUUUGACCCUGCAAAUCGUCAGACAGGAAACACCACAAAAGAGGACGUGGGAGAAUAUGCUAUGACAGGAAGAAAGAGAGGUUACUGUCUGAUAAUUAACAACUACAACUUCAGAAAUUCUCCAAAACUCCUAAGCAAUAGAGAGGGAACACAGGUUGAUGAAAGGAGUUUGGUGAGCGUGUUUGAGUGGCUGGGCUUUGAGACGCAGAUUGAGCCAGACUGCAGCCGGGAGCAGUUACUGUCUCUAGUUGCGGAGCUCCGCAGCCGUGACCACAGCCAGAUGGACUGCCUGGUGUGCUGCGUUCUGAGCCACGGGCUAGAGGGAGGUGUUUAUGGGGUGGACGGGCUGAAGGUCAGAGUCAGGGAGCUCACAGAGCCCUUCUCUGGACUGGAGUGCAGCUCACUGAGGGGAAAGCCCAAGCUGUUCUUUAUCCAGGCCUGUCAGGGCAUCAAGGAACAACAGCCAGUGUUCAUCCAGUCUGAUUGCCCAGGCGCUGAUGGCUCUACUACCACCAGCUCUAUCUGCACUGAUGCAGUGGUACGCAGAGACUCCAUUCCCUCUGAUGCCGACUUCCUUCUGGGCAUGGCCACUGUCCCUCACUUUGCCUCUUUCAGAGACAUGAGUAAGGGCACUUGGUUCAUCCAGUCGUUGUGCCAGAACCUCAUCAACUUGGUUCCCAGGUUAGUUCCAGAACCUCAUCAACAUGGUCCCCAGGUUAGUUCCAGAACCUCAUCAACAUGGUUCCCAGGUUAGUUCCAGAACCUCAUCAACAUGGUUCCCAGGUUAGUUCCAGAACCUCAUCAACAUGGUCCCCAGGUUAGUGCCAGAACCUCAUCAACAUGGUUCCCAGGUUAGUGCCGGAACCUCAUCAACAUGGCUCCCAGGUUAGUGCCAGAACCUCAUCAACAUGGCUCCCAGGUUAGUGACAGAACCUCAUCAACAUGGCUCCCAGGUUAGUUCCAGAACCUCAUCAACAUGGCUCUCUGGUUAGUUCCAGAACCUCAUCAACAUGGUUCCCAGGUUAAUGCCAGAACCUGAUCAACAUGGUUCCCAGGUUAAUGCCAGAACCUCAUCAACAUGGUCCCCAGGUUAGUGCCAGAACCUCAUCAACAUGGUUCCCGGGUUUGUGCCAGAACCUCAUCAACAUGGUUCCCGGGUUAGUGCCAGAACCUCAUCAACAUGGCUCCCAGGUUAGUGCCAGAACCUCAUCAACAUGGCUCCCAGGUUAGUUCCAGAACCUCAUCAACAUGGUUCCCAGGUUAGUGCCAGAACCUCAUCAACAUGGUUCCCAGGUUAGUGCCAGAACCUCAUCAACAUGGCUCCCAGGUCAGUGCCAGAACCUCAUCAACAUGGUUUCCAGGUUAGUUACAGAACCUCAUCAACAUGGUUCCCAGGUUAGUGCCAGAACCUCAUCAACAUGGUUCCCAGGUUAGUGCCAGAACCUCAUCAACAUGGUUUCCAGGUUAGUUACAGAACCUCAUCAACAUGGUCCCCAGGUUAGUGCCAGAACCUCAUCAACAUGGUUCCCAGGUUAGUGUCAGAACCUCAUCAACAUGGUUCCCAGGUUAGUGCCAGAACCUCAUCAACAUGGUUCCCAGGUUAGUGCCGGAACCUCAUCAACAUGGCUCCCAGGUUAAUUCCAGAACCUCAUCAACAUGGCUCCCGGGUUAAUUCCAGAACCUCAUCAACAUGGUUCCCGGGUUAAUUCCAGAACCUCAUCAACAUGGUUCCCAGGUUAGUGCCGGAACCUCAUCAACAUGGUUCCCAGGUUAGUGCCGGAACCUCAUCAACAUGGUCCCCAGGUUAGUGCCAGAACCUCAUCAACAUGGUUCCCAGGUUAGUGCCAGAACCUCAUCAACAUGGUUCCCAGGUUAGUGCCGGAACCUCAUCAACAUGGCUCCCAGGUUAGUGCCAGAACCUCAUCAACAUGGUUCCCAGGUUAGUGCCAGAACCUCAUCAACAUGGUUCCCAGGUUAGUGCCAGAACCUCAUCAACAUGGUCCCCAGGUUAGUGCCAGAACCUGAUCAACAUGGCUCCCAGGAUAGUGCCAGAACUUCAUCAACAUGGUUCCCGGGUUUGUGCCAGAACCUCAUCAACAUGGCUCCCAGGUUAGUGCCAGAACCUCAUCAACAUGGUUCCCAGGUUAGUUCCAGAACCUCAUCAACAUGGUUUCCAGGUUAGUUACAGAACCUCAUCAACAUGGCUCUCUGGUUAGUUCCAGAACCUCAUCAACAUGGUUUCCAGGUUAGUUACAGAACCUCAUCAACAUGGCUCUCUGGUUAGUUCCAGAACCUCAUCAACAUGGUUCCCAGGUUAGUUCCAGAACCUCAUCAACAUGGCUCCCAGGUUAAUGCCAGAACCUCAUCAACAUGGUUCCCAGGUUAAUUCCAGAACCUCAUCAACAUGGUUCCCAGGUUAGUGCCGGAACCUCAUCAACAUGGUUCCCAGGUUAAUGCCAGAACCUCAUCAACAUGGUUCCCAGGUUAGUGCCAGAACCUCAUCAACAUGGUUUCCAGGUUAGUUACAGAACCUCAUCAACAUGGUCCCCAGGUUAGUUCCAGAACCUCAUCAACAUGGUUCCCAGGUUAGUGCCAGAACCUCAUCAACAUGGUUCCCAGGUUAGUGCCGGAACCUCAUCAACAUGGCUCCCAGGUUAAUUCCAGAACCUCAUCAACAUGGUUCCCAGGUUAGUGCCGGAACCUCAUCAACAUGGUUCCCAGGUUAGUGCCAGAACCUCAUCAACAUGGUUCCCAGGUUAGUGCUCAGAUGUGCUUGGUUUCUUUAUAUUGUGUCAUUCUGACUUCCUCUUUGAAAACACCAAUAAACACUGGACUAUGACAUACAGAUGUCAGCGUAUGGUUGGUAAAUUAUUAUCAGAUUGAAUUUCCUCUCAUUGUUCUUUCUCUGUCCAGUGGGUAUGACUUGCUGUCCAUCCUGACCAAGGUGAACGAUGAUGUCAGCAAUAGGAGUGAUAACCAUGGCACCAGGAAGCAGAUGCCCCAGCCUGCAUACUCACUCAGGAAGAGGCUGGUCUUUCCCAUCCCAAAAUACCCUCCUCCCAGACUACACCUCCCAGACUACACCUCCCAGACUACGUGAGCCACAAAUAUUGUCUUGAGAGCACGAGAGCAGAGGGGUUUAAAUCUGGUCCUUAUACUUUCCCACCAAAUCAGGGACUGAUUCAGACACUACAUGUGUAGACUCACCAACAAUAUAUACACCCUCUGGGAUCACUCAGGUAGAAGGUGCAGGUUUACAUUUUUUUUAAUAUAUAUCUCGCUCUGUUUUAUUUACAGUACCAGUCAAAGGUUUGGACACACCAACUCAUUCCAGGGUUUUUCUUUAUUUUUACUGUUUUCUACAUUGUAGAAUAAUAGUGAAGACAUCAAAACUAUUAAAAUAACAUAUAUGGAAUCAUGUAGUAGCCAAAAA